GUGCCAGCCGCCGCGGUAAUACCGGCAGCCCGAGUGAUGGCCGAUCUUAUUGGGCCUAAAGCGUCCGUAGCUGGCUGCGCAAGUCCGUCGGGAAAUCCACCUGCCCAACAGGUGGGCGUCCGGCGGAAACUGUGUGGCUUGGAACCGGAAGGCUCAGAGGGUACGUCCGGGGUAGGAGUGAAAUCCCGUAAUCCCGGACGGACCACCGAUGGCGAAAGCACUCUGAGAAGACGGCUUCGACAGUGAGGGACGAAAGCUAGGGUCUCAAACCGGAUUAGAAACCCCGGUAGUCC
rnacentral:rRNA from 1 species